UACGAAGGGGGCUAGCGUUGCUCGGAAUUACUGGGCGUAAAGCGCACGUAGGCGGCUUUCUAAGUCGGGGGGUGAAAUCCUGGAGCUCAACUCCAGAACUGCCUUCGAUACUGGAGAGCUCGAGUCCGGGAGAGGUGAGUGGAACUGCGAGUGUAGAGGUGAAAUUCGUAGAUAUUCGCAAGAACACCAGUGGCGAAGGCGGCUCACUGGCC
rnacentral:rRNA from 1 species